UGUGGGGAUUCAGGGAAAGGGAUAACCCAGGGUUAGGGAGGGCGUGGGGAUCCAGGAACGGGGAUGAUCUGGGUAUGGGGAGGAUGCAGGGAUAGGGCCCCACUCCAGGCCUGGGAGCUGCUGCCCCAGAGCUGCUGAACCUCAGGACUGGGAUUUGCAAAGGGAGGGGGACUCUGAGGAGCCUUUGCUGCAGCCUCAGGGCUAACGUGGGAGCAGCUCCCAAAUCUCCUGGGGGUGCUGCGGGGGGCUGGAGGCUCCAGUGGGACAAGAGGGGAUGGCCUGAGCUGGGCUCAGGCAGAGAGCAGGAGGGAGGAAUCCCACACUGGACGCCUCCUGUGUCCCACCCUUGUCCCCCCAGGGGGGCACAGGGAGGGUCUGGAGAUGCCCUGGGCAGCCCCACCCCCCAGCAGAUUAUUGAUCAGUGUUAUUGAUCCAAGCCCAUGGACAGGGGGAAAUGGGGAUCCAGGGGAAGGGGCAUUGAGGGAAUCAGGGAAUCACUGCUGUGACGGAGCCUGGGAGGAAAUACAACCUCAGGGCACAGGGAGAUGGGGACAUCUGCUCUUGUGCCACAGGCAGCAGGACAUGGGGAAAAUUGUCCCUUUUGAAGGGUGAAGUGGAUCCCACAGGCCCAGGACAGAGGAAGGCACAGUGGAAACACAGCCCAGGCUCCACCUGGACCCCAGGAAAGGGGCUGGAGAGGAAUCUGAGCUCUCAGCAGAGCAGCCACACUCUCUGUUCCCCCAAAAUGAGACAAUUUGGAGCUGAGACCCUCCAUCCCCCCUCCCAUCCCUCUCCAGCCCCUUCCAGUCACUCCUGAGUUUGCCAGGUCGAUAGCAGAGGCUCCCCAGGCCCCAGCGCAGGGAAGGUGAGGAAUCUUUGCAGGGAAACAACGGGGUGGGAAAACCAUCCUCGUUCCUGGAUUCUGCGGAGGAGCCGAGAAAUGAAGGGUUAAAGGAAAGCAGGAGCUGGAAGGGAGGAAUGCAGCCAAGCAAAGCAGCCUUGGCAUCCACACGGACCCAGCCCGAGCCAUUCAGUCGGAAAGGGGCGAUUCCAGGACCUGUCAGGAUUAUUCCGAAUCAAUUAAGGGUCACUUAAGCACCGGCUCCUCAAGGGCUUCGUUCUCCUGGGGCUGGGCACGGCUGAGAAACUUGGGCAGGUCCCAGGGAGGGAGAGAAACUGAGCCCAGCACGGUCUGAGGAUGGACAAACAACCAAGAACAAGGAUGGGCAAAACCCACGGAUAAAAACUGACCACAAGGACGGGUAAAGAACCUCCAGCACACUCAGGUGGUGAUCCCCUCCAAGCAGGGGCCAGGGGCUUGGGAAUUCCGGGUGCUUUGUGGCACCAAUCCCUCAGGAAGCGCCAGGGCUCUGCUGCCCAGCCAAGCCAGAGUCCUUGGAGCCUUAACUCCAGAUCCACACGCUCCAUCCCAGGCUAGGAAGGCUCAAAGAGGUGAAAUGUUUGGUCUGGGAGAGGAGAAACUCCCUGCAAAGCAGCAAUCCCUGCAGCUCCUCCGGGAUAAAAACAGCAGGGAAGAGACGCCAGCCCCUGCCCUGCUCUGUUCAGGGAACAACCUCAGUGGGAAGGGACCCCCAGGAUCAUCCAGUCCAACCCCAAAAUCCCACCCAGUUCCUGAGAGUGUUGUCCAAAUGCUCCAGGAGCUCUGGCAGCCCUGGGGCCCGUGGGCAAUCCCUAGGGAGAUGUUCAGCACCCUCUGGGGGAAGAGCCUUGCCUUGAUCUCCUGCCUGAUCCCCCCUGGCCCAGCUCCAGACCGUGUCCAAGGUCCAUCCCCACCUGGGGAUCUCCUGGGCAGAGCCUGGCACCAAAUCCAGCACCAACAGGAGCCACCCCCGUGGGGCUCUGAGGGGCCACCACGUCCUUCCUGAGCCAGGAAAACCAUCUGGAGAUCCUUCCUGAGCCAGGAAAACCAUCUGGAGAUCCUUCCUGAGCCAGGAAAACCAUCUGGGAGAUCCUUCCUGAGCCAGGAAAACCAUCUGGGAGAUCCUUCCUGAGCCAGGAAAACCAUCUAGAGAUCCUUCCUGAGCCAGGAAAACCAUCUGGGAGAGCCCUCAGGGAUGGAGAGCAGGUCCCUCAGGCUUGCAGGGACCAUCCCUCCCCCAGAACGCUGCCCCAAGCCUGGAUCCUUUUCUCCUGUUUGCAGCUCCCAAAUGUGCCAGAGUCCCUCAAGGUGUUAAUUGUCUCCACGGGGAUCAGAUCCAGGUGUCUGGCACACCCAUCCAGCUCUGGCCAUUCACCUCCUCACUCUUCUCUUUAACACUCAGACUGAGAAAUAAUGGUAAUAAAAAAUCUCUGUCCAGGCCACACCCAGCCAAAUCCACCAGGGAUUUUGCAGGAUUAAAACAACUUUGCUGAACACUCAAUCACUUCAAAACCAAAGGAAAGGGAACCUGAUGGGAUAAUUAAGGGAUUUGCUGCACCAACAUCCAUAGUGGCACACCCAGAAGCCCUCGGUAAAUACUCUCUCCCCCAUCCCAAGAGGGAAAAAAAAUCCCUGGCAGUGAAAGCCGUCUUGUGGACUUCAAAAUAAAACAUUAAAAAUUCA